UGAGGGAAGAAAUUUUUGACGGUACCUCAGGAGAAAGUAUCGGCAAACCCUGUGCCAGCAGCCGCGGUAAUACAGGGGAUACAAGCGUUACUCGGAAUCACUGGGCGUAAAGCGUCUGUAGGUGCUUUGGUAAGUCUGAGGUAAAAGUCCGGGGCUCAACCCCGGGAGCGUCUUGGAAACUACCGAAGUGGAGCAGUGGAGAGGCAUCUGGAAUGUCGCAUGUAGGAGUAAAAUCCGUAGAUAUGCGAUGGAACGCCAAAAGCGAAAGCAGGAUGCUAGCCACUCGCUGACACUGAGAGACGAAAGCGUGGGGAGCGAAGGGGAUUAGAUACCCCCGUAGUCCACGCCCUAAACGAUGCGAGCUCGAUGUGGGAGGUUCUCAAUUGCCUUCCGUGUCCAAGCUUACGCGGUAAGCUCGCCGCCUGGGGAGUACGGUCGCAAGACUAAAACUCAAAGGAAUAGACGGGGACCCACACAAGCGGUGGAGCAUGGGGUUUAAUUCGAUAGUAAGCGAAGCACCUCACCCAGGUUUGACAUCUCGGGAAUCUCCCGGAAACGGGAGAGUGCCGCAAGGAACCCGAAGACAGGUGCUGCACGGCUGUCGUCAGCUCGUGCCUUGAGGUGUACUGUUAAGUCAGCGAACGAGCGCAACCCUCAUCCUAUGUUGUUUUUUCAUGGGAGACUGCCGCCUCCAAGGCGGAGGAAGGUGGGGAUGACGUCAAGUCAGCGUGGCCCUUAUACCUGGGGCAACACCCGUGCUACAAUGGUCGGUCCAAACAGCCGCGAAUCCGCAAGGAGGAGCCAAUCUGAUAAAGCCGAUCUCAGUUCGGAUUGAAGUCUGCAACUCGACUUCAUGAAGUUGGAAUCGCUAGUAACCGUGAAUCAGCUACGUCACGGUGAAUAUGUUCCUGGGUCUUGUACUCACCGCCCGUCAAGUCAUGAAAGGUAGAAGCGCCUGAAGGACCCUUACUCGCA
rnacentral:rRNA from 1 species